UACGUAGGGGGCAAGCGUUGUCCGGAUUUAUUGGGCGUAAAGAGCGUGUAGGCGGCCAGAUAGGUCAGCUGUGAAAACUCGAGGCUCAACCUCGAGAUGUCGGCUGAAACCAUCUGGCUAGAGUCCGGAAGAGGAGAAUGGAAUUCCCGGUGUAGCGGUGAAAUGCGCAGAUAUCGGGAAGAGCACCCGUGGCGAAGGCGGUUCUCUGGGACGGUACUGACGCUGAGACGCGAAAGCGUGGGGAGCGAACAGG
rnacentral:rRNA from 1 species